AGUGAACGCUGGCGGUAGGCCUAACACAUGCAAGUCGAACGGCAGCACAGUAAGAGCUUGCUCUUACGGGUGGCGAGUGGCGGACGGGUGAGGAAUACAUCGGAAUCUACUUUUUCGUGGGGGAUAACGUAGGGAAACUUACGCUAAUACCGCAUACGACCUACGGGUGAAAGCAGGGGAUCUUCUGACCUUGCGCGAUUGAAUGAGCCGAUGUCGGAUUAGCUAGUUGGCGGGGUAAAGGCCCACCAAGGCGACGAUCCGUAGCUGGUCUGAGAGGAUGCUCAGCCCCCCUGGAACUGAGACACGGUCCAGACUCCUACGGGAGGCAGCAGUGGGGAAUAUUGGACAAUGGGCGCAAGCCUGAUCCAGCCAUACCGCGUGGGUGAAGAAGGCCUUCGGGUUGUAAAGCCCUUUUGUUGGGAAAGAAAAGCAGCAGGAUAAUACCCCGCUGUUCUGACGGUACCCAAAGAAUAAGCACCGGCUAACUUCGUG
rnacentral:rRNA from 1 species